rnacentral:rRNA from 1 species
UGCCAGCCGCCGCGGUAACACGUAGGGGGCAAGCGUUGUCCGGAUUUAUUGGGCGUAAAGAGCUCGUAGGCGGUUCAGCAAGUCGGCCGUGAAAGCCCGAGGCUCAACCUCGGGACGCCGGUCGAAACUGCUGUGACUAGGGUCCGGUAGAGGUGAGUGGAAUUCUCGGUGUAGCGGUGAAAUGCGCAGAUAUCGAGAGGAACACCAGUAGCGAAGGCGGCUCACUGGGCCGGUACCGACGCUGAGGAGCGAAAGCGUGGGGAGCAAACAGGAUUAGAUA